CCUACGGGAGGCAGCAGUGAGGAAUAUUGGUCAAUGGCCGGAAGGCUGAACCAGCCAUGCCGCGUGAAGGUCAGUGCCCUAUGGGCGUUAAACUUCUUUUGUGCGGGAGCAAUAAUGGUCACGUGUGGCCAGACGAGAGUACCGUACGAAUAAGCAUCGGCUAACUCCGUGCCAGCAGCCGCGGUAAUACGGGGGAUGCAAGCGUUAUCCGGAUUUAUUGGGGUUAAAGGGUGCGUAGGCUGGGAGGUAAGUCAGCGGUGAAAUGCCCCGGCGCAACGGGGUGAAGUGCCAUUGAUACUGGCUUGCUGGAAUGCGGAUGCGGUGGGAGGAAUGUGUGGUGUAGCGGUGAAAUGCAUAGAGAUCACACAGAACACCGAUUGCGAAGGCAUCUCACGAAUCCGCGAUUGACGCUGAUGCACGAAAGCGUGGGUAUCAAACAGGAUUAGAUACCCGAGUAGUC
rnacentral:rRNA from 1 species